ensembl:lncRNA
UUCUCUGUACUGAUACAUGAAUGUUGUGAAUGUUCUCUUGUAGAUAAACAGACUUCAAGAAAACAAACAAACAAACAAAACAAGCAGGAAAGAGAAUGGCUCAAUUUAAAGAACAAAAAUGCCCAAGGGUUGUUAAAGGUAAAUGGCAGAACGAUAAACUUUCAACAGCCUCACUUCCAGGCCACAGCCAAAACUGAUAUCAUGCAGGAAGGCUGAAAAGAUAUGGGGUGGUAGUGGACAGAGAAACUCUGUUAAUGAGGUGGAAUCAAGUAAAAAAAUGUGGAAAGAUGGACUUCCUCUGCAGUAUCUGCAAGACAAACAGAAGAAGAUGGUGCAACAGACAGGUGUGACACCUCUGCUUUAAAAACCUCAUCCUUUAAAAGUCUCAUUUCUUAAAGUAAACUGUUUAAAGUUGGUUUUAACAUGGCUGUGGCCUCACUAUGUUUGAAAAACAGUCUUCUAAUGAUAUCUAUAGUGAUAGGUGAGAACCCUGCCUAGAAAAAUAAGUAUUUUGAUGUUUCAUACUUGGAUGAAAGACUGAGAGCUGAAGGACCCAAAAGGAGACCAACCCCAUGAAUUGGACAGUUAUAGCUAUACUGUUUCCAACAAACGGAUCAAGCCAUAACUCUUAUUAUUUUUUUUUUUUUAAUGAAAUUUAAAGCUGAUUCUGGCAAAAAAGUGGUACCUUUUUCAGAGAGAUAUGCCAUACUACUGCUACCUACAAGUCUCAUCUUGCCCCAACUUGUUUUCUUUAUUUAUAUAUAUAUCAGGGAGAAAGAGCUUUCUAAGUCCUGCACAAUGAAAAUGCACAAUAGAAAAAGAAGAAAAAGGGUGCCAACACACUUGCUCUGCUGGGAAUCUUCUGACCCCUUCUUGGAUGUUGUGUGAAAGACUGAAAGUCACAUUUCUUAAUGAACAUGGGACCAGAACCACUGAAGAUGAAGUGUGUCACUUGGGACAAUGUGGUUUGCACCUGGAGGAUGUCAGGAGUGCACAUAGUCCUACUGCUCAAGGAGAGAAGAAGGGGCCUUAACAGGUUUGUAGUUCUCUGCUCAUCAUCCCACAGAGGUGAGCUCUAUCUGUAAACAGUAGAUACAGCCAGUGAAAGAUAUGGCAGAUAUGGCACCUGUUCCUGGAAACAGGCUGGACAACUCAUCUGGAAGAGUAAAACAGCUAGCAGAGUGCUCCUGUGCUUCUGCAUGAGCUGAAGGAACAGGCUUUCUUUAAGACAGUCUCCUAGAAGAGGGAAAAGUGGGACAUCUAUCAGCUGUUUGUAGAGCAAUGGGAGAAACCUUGGCAGUAUCUGAUAUUCCUGUACCAUGGAUGAAGAGAAACCUCCAUCAUGUGGGGCUCUGACUCCAAACCCACCCCACAGAGCUGAACCCGCUGCUUCUGGAACAAGCAAUGCUCGCAGGAAGUACACCAGGAUGCAGUAAAUACUCAUCCUGCCUUGCUUCUCUCCUUGCUCUUCACAUCCACUUGGGCAGUAAGGACUCUGAGGAGAACCUUUGCAGCUUCCUGUCAGCCUGGUGACUGCCAUAUACCCUUCAUAGCACAGAAACACCAGGGGUGUUGGACAGAGAUCUGGAUUAUACAUUUUAUCAGCAGGGUCUCAUUUUUGUUCCUUAAAGUCAUCUGAAAAAUAAAAUAAUUUAGCGUGCAGAUACA